rnacentral:lncRNA from 1 species
UUUCUCUCCAGAACUGGAGCUGGAGUUUGGCUUUUCUCCCGUGAGAAGCUCCACAAGAACUACCCCAAAGCUGAAGACAUCGCUCCUUGCGGUUAAAAUACCCGUCAUAAGAUACUCUGGAUCCAGGUAGCCUAAAGUCCCUUGAAUUUUUGUUGCUAUAAUGGUUUGGUCUGAAGAAAUCAGCACUGAAGCUCCAAAAUCUGCAACCUUUGCCGUGUGGUUGUUGUCUAAGAGUAUGUUCACCGACUUGACAUCUCCAUGAAUAAUCGGAGGGUCUGCAAGAGAAUGCAGGUAAUUAAGCGCAAGGGCAAUCUCUGAUGCUAUCCUCAGGCGAUUGCUCCAGGAAGCUAGUAACUGCGACGUUUGUCAUGUAUGUGCUUGAAAAGAGUUCCAUUUGAAAUGAACUCAUCAACUAACAAUGGCACUUUGGUCUCCAAACACAGGCCCAAGAGCUUCACCACGUUCUUGUGAUUGACCUGUGAGACAACGCCCAUUUCCUUUUGAAAUUCCUCAUUCAUCUGAGCCUUGUCUACCCCUUUAAACUUCUUGACUGCAACUUGGACAUCAUCUGCUAGAACUCCUCUGUAAACAGAACCAAAACCACCUUCUCCAAGUUUCUGAUCAUCAUCAUAGUUUUUUGUUGCCUUUUCCAGCUGCGCCUCGCUGAAAAUCCUUACUCGUUGGUGCUUUAAAACCAUUCCCCCGUUCUCCCUGAAGUUUCUAUCCUUCUUCCUUUUCUUGCACAUCAUGUACAGUAGAACACAAAUGAUCACAAGCAAAAUGGCUGCUCCAAUAGCUGCAUACCAAUGUCAAAGAAAAAUUAUUGUUGCUUUAAACACAAAUCUAGAGAUUUCUUCUCUAACCUUUUACCGAGUGAUAUAUGGCCAUUAGUAUCAUCAUAAGAGCAUCUAAAUCGCAUUUUUUUUUACUGUUCUCAGAUUAAGUUUUUUUGCACACCAAGACGUAAUUCCCUUUUCCGAUCCAGCUAAAGUCAAGCAAUGCAAGUUGGGAUUAGGAGAUUCAUGAAUAUUCAUUAUAUAUGCUAGUCUUUUUAAUCAUAUACUUAUUGAAAAUCAUCAAAAAAAGAAGAACCAUACAUGCAUAGAUAUAAAUGCCUGUUCUUAUUGUUAAUUGUCUAUAAAGCUGAAGCUCGAGAAUUACAUGUUGAAUAUUAAACUCAAUCUAGAUGGUCAAGGAAGACAACCACCAUUUGCAGCCACAGCUGCCACCAGCCGCAGCCGCCAGCUACUAGCUGCCACAGCCGCCAGCCGCCAGCUGCCUUCACACUUGAAGGUUGAAUUUUCUAGUUUUUUGAUUUCGUGUAUGAAUAGAGUGCCCAGCUUCUGUUAAUGUGUAUGGAGAGAAUUGAGAGAAACACUAGAAAGAGAAAAAGAGAGAGAGAGGGCGUGUAUUGUGUUAAGCUUUUGUUGUUUAAUUGUAAGCUUCGGUUUCUUGUAAUAAAACCUUGUGUUUUAUCCCCUCUGAGUGUUUCAAAGCCACCACCAGUGGUUUCUCCCACCAACAAUUGGUAUCAGAGCCUCGUUCGUUAGAAAACAGAAGAGUUUUGGGGUAUAUCCGAAUUUUCAAAGUUGUCAAAAACAAGUUUUGAUAAUUCCACAGUGUAGAGCUCAUCAAGAGGAACUCACUGUCGCAAGAAUAAGCCUGAUCGGAGACCACGGUGAGCCACACGCGCGGCCUGAAGAUUCUGCACAAACGCCCACGCGCCCAGAGGUAGACGACGACUGAUCCACACGCGCGCCAUAUUUGAGCCGCGCCGAGCCGUUCACGCCGAGUCCAAGCCGAGCCGAGAGCCGUGCCGUACAGCGCGCCGAGAGAAUAUUUCCCAGAAUAUUCCUGGUUCAACCCAGCGAACCGCCCGCCUUACAUAAUUGGUUUUUUGAUCGGUUCACCCAUUUUUUGACCCGAUUUCAACAAAGUCAGACCGGUUCCCUACUAUUUGGACCAUUCUGGAUCGAUCUACAGUGUCCGUUUGGCCAAAUUCGGCUCCCAGAAGGUGAUAUAGUCAUUAAAAGAGCAAAAUAACUAUAGAAAGUACACAUACACUCAUCCCGAAGCUGACCAAAGACAAUUAUGAUAGUUGGUGCAUCAGAUUGAAGGCAUUCCUUUGUUCACAAGAGUGUUUGGAUAUUGUACAACAUGGUUAUGAUGAACCAGAGUCCAAAGAAGCAGAAGAUGCUUUACAAGAGGCACAAAAGCAAGCCCUCAAAGUCAACAGAAAGAAAGACAACAAAGCAAAGACCAUCAUCUAUCAGGGUGUUGAUGAAGACACAUUCGAGAUCAUAGCUUCCGCUGAAACAUCACAUGAUAUAUGGGAGGCUCUCCAACAGAAAUACAAAGGUGCUGACAGAAUCAAGAAGAUUCGUCUUCAAUCUUUACGAGGUGAAUUUGAGUUAUUGCAAAUGAAGUCCUCAUAAUCUAUUUCUGAUUAUCACACAAGGAUUAUGGUAAUAGUCAACCAGAUGAGGAGAAAUGAAGAAGCCCUCAUCGAUUCUCGAAUUACUGAGAAAAUUUUGAGAUCCCUAGAUCCAAAAUUUGAUUUUGUUGUUGUCGCAAUUGAAGAAUCCAAGGAAGUGGACAAGUUGACAGUUGAUGAGCUUAUGAGUUCGUUGCAAGCUCAUGAGCAGAAGAUAGUAAAGCGAAAUGAAGAUAAGGCCAUCGAGCAUGCCUUACAAGCAAAGCUGUCUCUCAAAGACAGAUAUGAGCAAGGGGAGACUUCAACAAGUGGCUACACUACUCAAGCAGGAAGUUAACAAUCUAGAGGAGGAUUUCAGAGAUUCCAAGGAAGAGGUUCUUGGAAUACAAGCUUUAAAGGAAGAGGUGGCAGAAACAUCACCAGAGGAGGCCGAGGACAACAAGCAUUCACUCUUAGAGGAAGAGGAGGCGGUUACAAUAACCGUGACAAGAGGAAUAUCCAAUGUUAUAGUUGCAAUCAAUUUGGGCACUAUAGCACUGAAUGCAGAAGGAAAGCUCCGUUGGAGAUACGCGAGCAAGCCAACUAUGUAGAGAAGGAUGAUAGAGAAGAAGCUGCAUUUCUUGUCCAACAAGGACUUGGCGAGAAACAGGAAAAUACAUGGUAUCUAGAUACUAGAGCCAGCAAUCACAUGUGCGGCUACCGAGAGUUAUUUGGCGAUCUAGAUGAGACCAAGCAAGGUCUAGUUACUUUUGGAGAUACCACAAAGGUUCCAUUCAAAGGUAAAGGCAGCAUCCCAAUUAAGUUGAAGAACGACGAUUCCAGCUACAUCGCCGAUGUGUAUUAUGUCCCAGCCAUAAAGCAGAACCUGAUCAGCUUAGGUCAACUUUUGGAGAGAGGAUAUACUUUUUACUCGAAGAAUUGUCAUCUGACAAUUAGAGACAACAAUUGGAGAUUAAUGGCCUACGUGAAAAUGUCUAAGAAUAGGAUGUUUCCUUUGAACAUCCAGUAUGAUGCAGCAAGGUGUUUGAGUGCCAUCACCAACAGUGAAGAAUGGCUUUGGCACCUGAGGCUUGGACUUCUGAAUUUCACAAGUCUGAAGAUGCUAGCAAGCAAGAAGAUGGUCAAAGGUUUGCCUCACAUUGAUCAUCCAGAUGAAGUCUGUGAGAGUUGUGUCCUCAGCAAACAUCACAGAUCCAGUUUUGCCAAAGAAGUCAACUGGAGAGCAAAGAGGCCACUGGAGUUAGUACACACAGAUGUGUGUGGCCCAAUAACGCCUAUGUCGACUGGACAAAAUAGGUACUUCCUCACUUUUACUGAUGAUUUUAGUAGAAAGACGUGGAUAUACUUUCUGAAGAGGAAGUCAAAGUAUUCAAUUGUUUUAAAGAUUUUAAAGCAAUUGUGUAGAAGCAAAGUGGCUACAUGAUCAGAACCGUGAGAUCUGAUCAAGGUGGAGAAUAUACAACCAAUGACUUUGAAGCCUUUUGUACACAACAAGGCAUCCGACAUCAAACGAUACCAGCUUAUACACCACAGCUGAAUGGUGUAGCCGAGAGGAAGAAUCGAACGAUUCUUGACAUGGCCAGAAGUUUGCUCAAAGCAAAGAAGCUGCCUAAGCAAUACUGGGCUGAAGCUGUAUCAUGUGCAGUGUAUCUAUUGAAUCGCUGCCCAACCAGAAGUUUGCAAGGAGUCAUUCCAGAAGAAGCAUGGAGUGGUCACAAACCAAGUGUAACUCAUCUACGAGUCUUUGGUUGUGUGGCAUAUGCAAAGAUCCCAGAUACAAGAAGGAGAAAGCUCGAUGAUAAAAGCGAGAAAUGCAUCUUUGUCGUAUAUUGUGAAAGAAGGAUGGGAUACAAGCUGUAUAAUCCCAUCACGAAGAAGGUGAUUAUGAGUAGAGAUGUUAUCUUUGAAGAAGAUAAAUCUUGGGAAUGGAAUGAUGAUCAAGAAGCAGUCAAAUGGAUCAAUCUUGAUUUGAUCCUUGAAGGUGAAGAAGUACCAACAGUACUUGUAGAAGAACCGAUUGUGCCAGCAUCUGAACCACAAAGUCCGGUGUUUAUACCAGCAGCUGAACCACAAAGUCCGGUACACAGAUUCCCUGUAUUCAACAGGAGGAACACACCAGGAGCAUCAUCAUCAACACCACCAUCAGCAUCCUCAUCAGAAGGACCAAGAAGGAUGCGAAAUCUUGAAGAGUUGUACGAUGCCACUCAAGUCAUGGAAGAUACAACUCUGUUUUGUUUCCAUGCAGAUAGUGACCCAUUAAGCUUAAAUAAAGUUGUCACUGAAGAGAAAUGGAUUAAAGCAAUGGAUGAAGAAAUACAUGCCAUUGAGAAGAAAGAUACCUGGAAGCUGACUUAUCCACCAGAAAACAAGAAAGCAAAAGGUGUCAAAUGGGUCUACAAGACGAAAGCCAAAUUAGUGGAUAAAGGCUACAAGCAGAGAGAAGCCAAAUUCAAUCUAGAUGGUCAAGGAAGGCAACCACCACUUGCAGCCACAGCUGCCACCAACCGACCAGCCACCAGCCGCAGCCGCCAGCCGCCUUCACACUUGAAGGUUGAAUUUUCUAGUUUUUUGAUUUCGUGUAUAAAUAGAGUGCCCAGCUUCUGUUAAUGUGUGUGGAGAGAAUUGAGAGAAACACUAGAAAGAGAAAGAGAGAGAGAGGGCGUGUAUUGUGUUAAGCUUUUGUUGUUUAAUUAUAAGCUUCGAUUUCUUGUAAUAAAACCUUGUGUUUUAUCCCCUCUGAGUGUUUCAAAGCCACCACCAGUAGUUUCUCCCACCAACAUUACAGACUCGGCCAGUAAUGGCUACGAUGCUCUUCAUAACGGAGAAACUCAUAACAAGAUUAAUUCCAAGGUCACUUCCGUACCUGCAAUUAAUGUGAUGAUAUCAAGUCCUUGACAACCUAUUUUAACAUCACCAUGCAUACCAAGUGGACAUCGACACUUGUAAUUCCCAAUGGUGUUCUUGCAUCUACCAUGACAUGGAUAGCUUUCUGGAUCCUUGCACUCAUCGAUAUCUAAAUGUUAAAAAAAGUAGUGAGUAACAAACCGCUACUAUUUUAUGCUUAAUCAUGGAAUGAAGAUUGAGAUUGAUGGAUGUUUAGUACUUAAAUACUUUGAAACUAUAUCAUGCAACCAUUUUAAUUAAAAAUCUCAAACUGUUUAAAGAAUUUUCAAAAAUAAAUUUAUAUUACUCUGUAGGCUAGUUGCUUAUAAAGCUACAACUCGGGAAUUAUAGAUAGUGCAAGUAAUGGCUGCAACGCCUCAAAACGGAGAAGCUCAUAACAAGAUUAAUUCCAAGGUCACUUACGUACCUGUAAUUAAUGUGAUGAUACCAAGUCCUUGACAACCUAUUUUACCAUCACCAUACAUACCAAGUGGACAUCGACACUUGUAAUUCCCAAUGGUGUUCUUGCAUCUACCAUGACAUGGAUAGCUUUCUGGAUCCUUGCACUCAUCGAUAUCUAAAUGUUGAAAAAAGUAGCGAGUAAAAUCUGAUUAUAAAUUCGAAAAAUAAAUUAUAUAAAAAAUAAAUCGUGCCAAUUAAAUGGAUAUGAUUAGGCAAUGAAAGAUUUGCAUGUAUAUUAACCAAUUGGUCUAGCAUGAAACUCAGGUAGUGCUUAAGUUGAAAUGUUUAAUAAAAAACACUAAUCAUGAGAUGGAAAUUUUAAGCAAGCUCAAAUUUCAAACUAGGCCACAUGAUUUUUUUUAUUAUUAUUACACAUGACGAGAGACAAACAGGGAAAGAGCAUAACCUGCAAAAGCAUAUAUAAAAAGUACUAAUAAUGGAAAUCAUACCAAAAAUCAAUAACCAGUUUACCUUGGCAUCCUUCUUGGAGAUAGGGAUUUCCUUCGAACCCUUCAUUGCAUAAGCAACGAUAUCCUUGACCACUCUCCGGGUACGUGCAAUUUGCAUUAGCGCCACAAGCAUAUGCACUUGCAUUAGCUUUAGCCUGCUCGCAAGUCUCAUUUUUAACUACCCAUUCAAUCACAAUAUCUGUUCUAUAUGCAUCUUUUCCAUAUUUUGGCUUGCGAGAGAGCGGCCAAUCUGAAAUCUUCAAGGAGUUCUUGUCCACUAAAAAAGCAAAUCCACAGAGAUUGAAGUCCGAAACGUUCGUGUAGUUGUAAAAACUAAAUAAUGAAAUAUCAAGUGAUUUGAGGCCCUUGGGGAUUGAGCUUUGGCAGCAUCCAGAACCUGAGCAAGGAUUUACAUCGGACAUGCUCACAUAUUCUGUGCACAAGGAGAGACAGGCAGCUCCAUAUGUGAACUCAUAGUUGGUCACCUGGGCAAAGGUAUCGCAACCAAUAGCUGUGAAGAUAUUUCGGAGGUGUGAGAGCAUGAAGGGGCCUGAUCCAAGGGUCAUAUACUGUGGGAAAGAGUCUAUCUGUAUCCCUGAUUUGUUAUAGCAUUUGAAUGCUGCAUCAAUGCCUAGAGUUACUGUGCCCUCCAGCUGUGAUAUAUUGUGAAUAGCCAUGCCAGUUCCAAACCACAGCUGUGAUUUGGAGAUCUUCUGGUUUGAUAGUUGCAAGGAAUUUCCCGGUGACUAUAGAUUGGUAAAGAAACUAGGAACUUUGGGGAAAAGAUUGAGACAAUGGAACAAAUCCACCUUCGGUAAUCAAAAUUCAAAACUUGCAGACAUUCAGAACUCCAUCACAACCAUCGAAGACUUAAGCGAGGUACGCCUCUUGUCUGAGACUGAAAAAACAAAGCUCAAGAAUCUAAACUCUGAACUUUGGGAGGUUAGUAGGAAUGUCGAGGGCAUUUGGAGGCAGAAAUCCCAGCAAAACUGGUGCAAAAUGGGGGAUAAAAACACUCGGUUCUUCCAUCUUUCGGCAAGUUUGAGGAAUGGUCGGAACCACAUUAGCAAGAUUGAGCAGAAUGGCAGAUUUUUAGACUCUCCAAAUGACAUCAAAGAGGGUGCUGUCAACUUCUUCUCAACUCUGUUUGCCAAGCCACAAUGCAGAAGAAUUGAAAUGGGAGACUCAGGGUUCUCUAAAAUUUCAGAAGAAAGUUCAGUUUGGUUAGAAAGACUACCUUCAUUGGAGGAAGUGAAGCAAGCCGUUUGGGAUUGUGAUGGUUCAAAAGCCCCCGGUCCUGACGGGUUCACCUUCUCCUUCUAUAAAAAGGAAUGGAAUCUUAUCAGCCCUGAAUCUUUGUGAUGGUCACAGAAUUUUUCAGAACAGGUAAAUUACCAAAGGGGAUCGGCUCGUCCUUCGUGACUUUGAUUCCAAAGACCAAGAGGCCGAGCACUUUCUCCCAAUUUCGACCAAUUAGUUUGAUUCAUGGGUUAUAUAAAAUAGUGGCAAAGCUCUUGUCCAUUAGGCUCCGAAGCAUUCUACCAGAUGUGAUAAGUGUAAACCAGUCUGCUUUCAUUGCCGGGCGUCAGAUUCUAGAUGGGUUCAUGAUAGCAAACGAGGUUGUCCAUAGUAUUCGUAGCAAAAAGGACCACGAGUUUUUGCUGAAGGUAGAUUUUCAUAAAGCCUUCGACUCGAUUUUAUGGGAGCAUAUCGAUUCUACCAUGGGUUAUAUGGGUUUUGGAUCUCACUGGAGGAAACUGAUCUUUGAAUGCAUGUCCACUUCUAAAUUGGCCAUCCUGAUUAAUGGCUCACCAAGCAGAGAAUUCAGUAUGGAGAGGGGUCUCAGGCAAGGGGACCCUCUCUCUCCUUUCCUUUUUGACAUAGCAGUUCAGGGGUUAACAGUUCUAUUCAACAGGGCAUCAGAUUUAGGUUACUUUAAAGGUUUACAGACUUCGCAAGGACAUCACAUAACCCAUUUGCAAUAUGCAGAUGACACUCUGAUUUUCCUGUCGAAUGAUUAUACCUCUCUACUGCAUGUCAAGAGGAUCCUCCGCUGGUUUGAGAUCAUUUCAGGACUGAAAGUUAAUUUCUAUAAAAGCUCACUUAUAGGAAUUAAUUUGGAUAACGAAUACACUUCAGGUCUGGCUAACACAAUUUUCUAUCGCAGUGACUCCUUCCCAGUCAGAUACCUUGGGUUGCCUCUUGGUGCUAACCCAAAUAGGCUCUCCACUUGGAAACCGGUAUUGUCCACAAUCAGAGCAAAGUUAAGCAAAUGGAAAUGGAAGUUUUUGAGCAUGGCCGGUGUCGCUCCCCAAAAAAAAUCAGUGCGCGGCAUCGGCUGGCGAUUUAAAUCUCGUUUGUUGUGUUUGCUUUGAAUUGGUUCGUUGGAGUCGCCACCUAGUAAUUGAAUGCGGGCUACUAGGAAACCGGAUGUACUGGUCUUGUCAGAGAUUCGCGGGUAAGGGACUGGUUGUGGCUAGGGAAGGUAUUAGCACCCCUAACGCACCCUACCUGAGGUAAGCUGCUUCGUGAAUUCGAUGUGUUAAAGAAGUUUUAAUAAUUGUCUUUUCAUCGGAAAUUAGAAAUAUCACUUACGUAUAAGUUAAUAAUUCUUAACCGAGAUUCGAUCAAAAUAUUAAAUUCUUCUUUAAUAUAUUUUCAAUUUUAUCAUAAAAAAAAUAUAUAUAUACAAAUGAAUAAAACAAAAUACAAACAAACACAUACACUUUCACCAUUUUUGUUUCUUUUCUUUUUUCUUUUUUUCUUUUUUCUUUUCUUUUCUUUUCUUUUCUUUUACAUCCAUAUUUACAAAAUACAAAAUCAUAAAAAACUCAAAACUAAAUAAAUAUUACAUUAAACAAUUUAGAAAUUACAAAAUGAACCAAAACAUUCCGGAACAGUGCUGGAAACCUCUAAAUCGCCGGAACAGUGGCGUGAAGCCGCUGGGACAAUAGGCGGCGCGUCUUCCCACGUGCCACCGCCAUUGGCGGCGCGUGAACCCACGCGCCGCCACAAAAUACCUGAAAACAAGCGGGUCUUGCUCAGCUUCUUCUCUUCCAACCGGUGACGACCUGUAAUCAAGAAUAGAACACACACAACAGUUGAUUUUACUCCAUUUUUGUCCGAAUCUAUUCUGAUUAUUUUGUUUUUUAGAUCUGUUAUUUUCUGUAUUCUUUGUUCUUCGUGCGUUUGUUCUUUCCUUCUUCAACCGGUGGCUGGUCUGGCGGUGGUGAAGAGGGUGACGGCAGCCAGGCGGACCGAUCUGGGAUCUGUGGAUGGUUCUGGAGGGAGUCUGUUGGCUGCGUGCUGCUGACUCUCCGGCGAGAUAGCUGGUUCGGGUGGUGCUGCAGUCUCUCUGUAGCAGUAGAAGGCUGACCGGCGAGAGGAGAGUGAGGGUGUCUUGUCUGGCGACAGUGACUACUGCUAGUGGAAGAAGGCUGGACGAUUUGGGUCCGUCAGCGCUACUGUGUUGGGGCUGGUCUAGGUCGAUUAUGAUGGAGACAGGUGGCGGUGUUGAGGUGCAGCGGCGGCUGUGAGGGAAGGAGACCGGCGAUGGGGUUGUUUGGGUCGUGAGCGGGUGAAGGGAGAAGAAACCAAAAAUCAAAACAAAAGGGGGGUCGGCUGCAGAGAAAAUGAAAAUUGCACAGGGGAGAGGGUCAUGGCUGCUUGUGUCCGGCCAAAAGAGAAUAAAGCUGGCGUUGAGGGAAAACGGUGAUGGAGGGGGUUAUGUGCAGAGUUUUUUUUUUCUUUGGGCAGAGGGCAAGGGAGAGAAGAGAAAAAAAUGUUGGAGAGGAAAGGGGCGUCGGUGGAGAGCUGAAAAUCAGAGGGUGGGGGCUGCUCCGAUUGAGUGAGAAGAGAAAAAAAAAAUUCAAAAGGUGAGGGGGGCUGGCUUGGUUCAGCGGCUGCCAGGGGGAAAAUCUUUUAGGUUUAGGGUUUUUGUUCUUGUGUUUUCUCUCCCACAAUCUCAAAAUUGCCCCCCUCCCUUUGUGUGAGUUAAAGACCAGUAUUUAUAGGUAAAAAAUGUUGCCAAGUUUUUCAACUUGGUCCCUCAACUUCUUUCUUUUUGUAAAUUUUGAUUUUUCUUAGUUUUUUGUAUUUUUUUUUUUAAAACGAGCAAUAUCACCGUCGACUCAACGAGGAAAAUCAAUGUUUUUAAAAAUAACGCGUGAAAAGUCGAACGCGUUUGAAAAUCUUUUUAAAAAAAUUUAAAUUCUGUUUUUUUUUAGACGACGUUGAAAAUGCUAAAAGGACGAAAAUAUAAAAAAACAUAUUUUUUGGAUUUUCAUUGUUUUUCUCUAUUUUUGGAUUUUUUGAAAAUAUAUCAAAAACAUUGGUCAAAAAUUGAGUAGCUACAACCGGAAGGAUAUGUCUUAUUAAAUCUGUCUUAAACUCUCUACCUCUAUACUAUAUGUCGGUCUUUAUUAUGCCAAAGGGCAUUGCAAAAGCAAUAUCCUCAAUCAACCGUUGUUUUCUCUAGAAGGGCUCCUCAAAUUCACAUGGUUUUUGUAAGGUUGCUUGGCAUAAGGUAAUUAAGAGUAAGCCACUUGGAGGUCUCGGGCUUGGUUCUAUUCACAGUAAAAAUCUGGCUCUGAUGUUUAAAUGGCUUUGGAACCUUGACAAAGGAGUGGCAGGAGGUUGGCAAGAACUCAUCUUACGAAAGUAUCAACCACAUUUUACAAAUGGCCUUCCUGUGUUUGCAGGUUCCUUAUCUCCAACUUGGCGUGGCAUGGUAUCUGCAAUUUCCUUAAAUCACAGCAUAGCCGCUCCCAUCCAAUCCAAUGUUGGGUUUAAGGUGGGUGAUGGGAGAAACAUCAGGUUUUGGUCUGAUUCUUGGCUAGGCUAUGCAACCCCUCUCCAGUUCAUGUUCCCUAGGCUCUACAACCUCUCCCUACAGCAAUCUUUAAGCGUUGCAGAAGUUCAUAACCCAAUAGAUAACUCAAUCAAUCUUUCUUGGAGAAGACCACUUCGAUCCCGAGAACUCUACAUGUGUGAAAGCUUGAUAGCAGAAGUGGAACGUGGCCUAGUCUUCUCUGAUGGUGAAGACAACAAGAUUUGGAAACACCAUAGCUCCAACAAUUACACAGUCUCCUCUGGGUGCCAUCUCUUUGACGGUUUAAAUGUUUCAGGACAUCUUCACUCCCUGCUUUGCUUUGGAAAGGGUUUGCGCCUCCACAAAUAGAUGUGUUCAUAUGGCAUCUUUUCAAUGGCAGUGUCUGCACAAAGGGUUUCUUAGCUGAGAGGAGAAUCAUCAAUUACAAAGGAAGCUCUUUGUCCUUUCUGCUACAAGGAGAUUGAGACUACACAUCAUCUUUUCCAUCUUUGUCCAAAAUCAUGGUCUCUUUGGGGCAGACUAUUUAGUUGGUUUGGGUGUGUAGGUUGUCUGCCAAAAGAACCAUAUCAUAACGUUCAGGAAUGGUCCAACAUGGUAAAAGGAAAAUUCCAGCGUCAGGCAAUUACCCUUCUCUGUAAAGGAUUAUACUGGUCAAUUUGGAUAGCGCGCAACCACAUGAUCUUUGACAACAAAACUCCAGACUGGGAUGUGAUUUUUGACCUCACCUUUCAUCGGUUGACCUUUUGGUUGAAGUCCUUUAUUAAAAAUUUCAGCUAUACGGGCUCUGAUCUUUAUAGGAAUCCUGAAUGUAUUAUGAACUGGACUAACUAGUCAGGUAUUUAGAUUCCUUGUUUUCUUAAUGUAUUUUUAAUUUCCCAUGUAAUCUUCCUUAUCAGCCCUCAUCUCCUUAAUGGGGGCGUAUUAUUUAUAAUAUUCUCGAUUACUAUCAAAAAAAAAAAAGCCACAGUUCAUGAUGACCUUCAUCGUUAGAACUGCAAUUUAGGAAGAAGAAGUCGUUCAUGGCACAACUUCGUUCCAAAAUCCCAAACGGGUAAGGAACACUAACAUUCCCACACGUUUCUAGGCAGCCAGGUUUCACAUCUGACCUAGUUGUAGCUGCCACCGCAACAACAACAGCAACAUCAUCAGCCAAGACACCCACAUGAUCUGCAGGAUCAUUUUUUAUGCACUCCUCAGCUUGUGUGGCUUAGAAAACUAUCUCCCUCUAAUUUGUGUGGCCUUUUUUCCUGCUAGAGAGUUUAUACUGCUAUGGGAAACUAUCCAAUUCAUGAGCAUGACGAAUGCCAAUUCUAAAAACAGAAUAAAACAUAACAAAUGGAGAGCGUGCUCGGUACACCGAUGAAGACCUAACUACCCAUUGCAACAAUUGUUCAACGUAUCCUCCCUUCUUUUUUUUUGCCCCCCUUUCUUCUUUGUCUUAAAAAAGAAAAAUGACUUGUAUAUAUAAUGAAGUCCAUCUGACAAUAUUGAAAAUUCGCCUCCAUCCAAUCUGUGUUCUGUCUCGUCUGAUCAGUAGAUAAUUUGUUCUGACCCAAUCUUGAAAACAACGUAGUCAGCUCCUUCGAAAAUCAAUGAAAAAUAAAAAAACAUUUUGCAUCUAAUUAUAUAUUAAUAUUUGAGUUUGUUGUGUAAGUCAGCUGCCAAGUCGACUACAUCAGCCGCAUUAACCACUUGCGAAGUUGCUUGCCCUUUGGCUAGAGGCACGCAUUGGUUUUUUAGCCUUGUUCAAAUAAUCAUUUAAACUUAAUAAGCCUAACAUUACAAAGCACCGUUAUUCACAUUACAAGUAAUCAUUUAAGGUCGAGAUCUCUUAUUAAGAAAAAAGAUGUUAUCAAAACACCACAAUUUACAUCAUAAGGGAAUUUAGAUUUAUUGACCAUGGAUAUUAUUAUAUAAUUUUAUUGAUCUAGUUUGCAUUUGAAAUCAAUUUUAUGGUGUGUUUAAAUAUGUUUUGGUGUUUCGAAGAUAUUAUAUAUAAUUUUUUUUAUAAUGAAAGUGAUUGAAUUCACUAAGAUUAUGAGCGGUUAUUAUGAAAUAAAUCCUUAAAAAUAUCUAUAAAGUAUAUAUGUGAUGAGUUUAUGAUUUGUACCUGUCGGAUAAGUUCAUGUUAGAAUUAUUUGAGUUUAAUGUAUUUGCUUUGUGUUAUGAGUUACGCAAAUGAUGAGAUGAGUUAUGUUCUAGGAUGAAAAUUAAUAAUCAAUGUGUGCUUGAAAUUAAUAUUGUUCUUGAGUGUAUUUAUUUUGAUUACUAACUAAGUCAUCAAAAGUUGGUCUUCUUCAUAAUUAUUUUUAUUUUAGGCAUAUAGAUUUAAAAAACAUGCAUGACAUGGCAAAAAUACAAUAAUAGCAAAUUAAACAUGAUUAUUUUUUAUGCACUGCCCAACUUGUAUGACAUAAUAAUACUACUUCCCUCUCUAAUCUGUGUGGCCUUAUUACGUGGUAGAUAAUUUAUACUCCUACGGAAACCACUCAAUCCAUGAGCAUGAGGAAUGCAAAUUCAUAAAACAAGAAAAAUAUAAAAUAUAUGGAGAGCAGACUCGGUCGAUCGAUGAAGCCUUAACAGCCCACUGCAACAAUUUUUCAACAUCUUCUCUGUUUUUUCUUCUUCUUCUUCUUUUUCCACAACUGUAACUUAUCAUAAGAAAAAAAGACUUGCAUUUGGAUAUAUAUAUAUAUAUGUUACAAAAAUUAAAGACAAUUAACUUGCACCCAUCAACAUCAAUAUCAAUAUUGAUCAAAUAUAGUAAACUCACGACCAUCGAGAAAGAAUGAAAAGUAAAAUACUUGCACCUAGCUAGGCUUCUGAUAUUUUAUAAUAUGUGAGUUUGAAGUAUAUGUCAGUUGCCAAGUUGACUAGAUAUACAAACAUUAACAACUUGUAAAGUCCAUGAAAAUAUAAUUGCAUUUUUAUAUAUAUAUUCCCUCGGGCUAUAGCACGCAUUAUAAGUUGUAUACUUCGCUGAGUUGAUCAUUUAAAAUUUAAUAAACCUUAUAUUAACUCUUCCACUUGAGAAUGAACGUCCACAGUAAUUUAUAUUAUAAAGAAUAAUUUCGACCUCGAGAUAUCAUAAAAAUAAUAAGGAAUACAUUAUUAAAGUACCAUAAUUUACAUUAUAAAGAAAAAAAAAUAAAACUCGAAGUCUUAUUUUAACACCAAUUACUGGUUGGGCUAGAAUAGGUAAGAACUAUAAUCACACAAGUUGGCUUAUGAAGAUGAUUUUGUUUUUGAGCUCAAUAACAAUACCACGCAACAAAUUAAAAAUCUAAACUGAUUCAAAAUCCGAUUGCUAGUACGUAGUGGGGAAGAAGGAAAAAAGUUCCAAAAGGAGGAUAAGAAGGUUUGGAAACACACUAGAUGAUCAUAUUUAUGAUGAAAAUAGAUCUUAAGUAUGGAAUUUUAUUAUAACAUUUUAAAAACCCUAUUUCCUAUUAGAAUUCCAAGACAAAAUAGAUCUUAAGUAUGGAAUUUUAUUAUAACAUCUUAAGGUUUGGAAACACACUAGGAUAAGAAGGUUAUCAAACAGGCAACAGUCCGCUUAGUGUUCUCCAUUGCAGUUUCGAGUGGUUGGAAAAUUCAUCAGCUUGACAUUCAUAAUGCAUUUCUAAAUGGAGUCCUUGAUGAAGAGGUUUACAUGAAACAACCUCCAGGUUUUGUUGAUUCUGCACUCCCAGGUCAUGUAUAUCGAUUGCAUAAAUCUCUAUAUGGGUUAAAACAAGCUCCGCGGGCUUGGUACACUCGUCUGAAUGAUUUUCUAUUAUCCAUUGGUUUCCGUGCUUCUAAAGUGGAUACCUCAUUGUUUAUCUUCUCGGUUGGUAGUGAUAUUUGUUAUCUUUUGGUUUAUGUUGAUGAUAUUCUGCUUACGGGUAAUAAUGGAACUCUGCUACAACGACUCAUUCAGCUACUGAGCUCAGAAUUUAAACUUCGGGAUUUGGGUGAUGUUCAUUAUUUCUUGGGUAUUGAAGUGCAGUGUACUGGUCUGGGACUUAUGCUUUGUCAACAUAAAUAUACACUUGAUAUCCUCACACGAGCUGGUAUGUUAUCCUGUAAACCAGUUGAUACUCCUAUUUCGGCAUCCAAAGCCACCAUUAUGCCGGAUCCAUUGUUUUCUGAUGCUACUCGUUUUCGGCAACUUGUUGGUGCUCUCCAAUAUCUCACUUUCACACGCCCGGAUAUUUGCUUUGCUGUUAACCGGGUCUGUCAAUUUAUGCAUGCUCCUACAGAAUCCCAUUGGGCUGCCGUGAAACGCAUCUUGCGUUAUCUCCGUGGUACGGCAUCACAUGGUUUACAUAUUACUCGCAGCUCUUCCUUUGCUUUACACGGUUUUACAGAUGCAGAUUGGGCAGGUAGUAUUGAGGAUAGAAAGUCUACAGGUGGUUAUCUUGUGUUCUUUGGUCAGACGCCAAUUUCAUGGAAAUCGAGUAAGCAACGCACUGUUGCUCGUUCUUCGACGGAAGCUGAGUACAAAGCCUUAGCCGAUGGCACGGCUGAAGUUAUCUGGCUUCAGUACUUGUUAACGGAUCUUCAGAUUCCGACUCCUUCUGCCCCUAUUAUCUGGUGUGACAACCUUGGUGCCACGUAUUUGUCCGCAAACCCUAUAUUUCAUGCUCGCACAAAACAUAUUGAGAUUGAUUAUCAUUUUGUCCGAGAUAGAGUUGCGAAGAAGGAGAUUCAGAUUCGUUUUAUUUCCUCUCAGGAUCAACUUGCCGAUGUCUUCACUAAGCCACUUCCUGCUGCUUCAUUUACUGCUUUUAGAUUCAAGCUUCGGGUUGAUCCUCCACCCUCAGCUUGAGGGGGCGUAUUAUAGAAUGUAAUUAUAUAGGAAAUAUUGUAGUCAUAUUCUUAUGUGGUAAUCUCCACCUUUACUAUUGUAUAUUGCCCUAAUCAUAUAUAUAGAAAGGGUUGGCUAACCUAUUAGGUUAAGCCUCCUAAUUAUUCUCAACUUGGUAUCAGAGCCUCCUAAUAUUUUCUCUCUUUGCAGCCGGCCCUAAUUUUCUCCCCCAUGGACUCUCCUCCUACUGCCGUUGCUCCAAUCUCUCCCUCCACCGGUGAUGCAUCAUCACCGGCCAGCCCUUUUCCUGCUGCUGGCUCUGCCGUUUCUCUGCCUCUUAUGGGAACACAAUCUUCAAUGGUUCCUCUAUCAAACACCCACCAUGUUGUGUCGUUGAAACUUACGAACACAAACUAUCUUUAUUGGAGAAUGCAGAUGAAGUCAUAUCUCCUUGGUCAAGGUGUUUUUCAAUUUGUUGACAGCUCCUUGCCAUGUCCUCCAUCUCAUAUGAUUGAUGCUUCGGCUGAUUCUUCUUCUGCCAUCAGCCCCUCUUUUCUUCGUUGGAAGCAACAAGAUCAACUUAUUUUGAGUGCUCUACUCUCCUCUCUUUCCGUGGAUGUGCUACAUCUUGUAGUCGAUUGUUCUACUUCACAUUGUGUUUGGCGCACGCUUGAGAAGGCACUUGCCUCUCCAUCUAAUUCGGAUCAUGCAACUACAUGGCUCCUUUCAAGACCUUCGGCAAGGUGAUGCAUCGGUUAGUAUGUAUAUGCAGCAAGCCAAAUCGUUAUUUGACGAAUUGGCUGCUGCUGGUCGCCCAAUGUCCCUUGAAGAUUUCAAUCUCUAUGUGUUUCGUGGACUUCGCGGUGAGUUCAAAGACUUGGUAACUAGUCUCAUAACCAAGGCUGAACCGCUAUCGUAUGCUGAUCUUCAUAGCCAUCUCCUUACCCAUGAGUUUCUGCACAAGAACUCUUUUCACUCCAUGGCUGUCGGUUCAUCCUCUUCAUCACUGUUGUCUUCUUCUUCUCUACCGCAGCAGCCACCAUUGCUGCCAACACCUCCGAAUUCUGCUUAUUAUGCCAUGACUAAUCACAGCCGAAACAGGGGACGUUCUAGAGGUAAUUGGCGCUCAAACACCAACCGAUUUCAGGCCCCAAACAGAGGUCACUCCGCUGUAGAUUGGAGGCAAAAUCAGUGGCAGAACAGGCGCACCUCUGCUGCAGAUUUUCGGCCAAAUCAGGGGCAGUGGUCUGGACAUGUCCGCUGCCAAUUAUGUUCCACUCCUGGCCAUUCAGCUCUUCAAUGCUAUCAGUUUCGCAGCAGCACACAGCAGCCCUCUGCUCACCUUGCUGUUGCGAAUGAUUCUACUGCAACGACUUGGUUUCCCGACACCGGCGCGAAUCAACAUGUGACGCCUGAUCUUGCAACUCUAACUGAUUCUGCUCCUUAUCUUGGUAAUGAUUUCUUGCAUGUUGGUGAUGGUAAGGCCCUUGACAUAUCCCAUGUUGGACAUACUACUUUAUAUUCCCCCAAACGCUUGUUUACAUUAACUAAUGUUCUUCGUGUGCCUCACAUUACCAAACCGUUGUUAUCUGUUCAGAAAUUCUGUCGUGAUAAUCAUGUUUAUUUUGAAUUUCACGAUUCUGUGUUUUAUGUGAAGGAUCUCGUCACCAAGGAAGUUCUUCUUUCCGGUCGGAGUCAUGAUGGUCUUUAUGUUCUCUCCGAGUCCUCGGCUACGUCAGUUCCUCAAGCUUUUUGGUCUCCUUGCAUUUCCGCGACUGCCGACUUGUGGCAUCGUCGUUUAGGUCAUCCAACUCCUCGCAUUCUAAAUUUGUUAGUUUCUGAUAAUAAAAUUAUUUGUACGUCUAAACGAUCUUUUACUCAAUGUCAAGCAUGUCCAUUAGGCAAGUCAUCCCGUUUGUCAUUACGACCGACGGGUCACAAAACUUCUACCCCACUUGAAUUAAUUUUUAGUGAUGUUUGGGGCCCUGCUCCAAUGUUUUCUUCUGAUGGUUUUCGUUAUUUUGUUAUCUUUGUUGAUGCGCACACUAAAUAUAUCUGGUAUUAUCCGCUUGUUGCGAAAUCUGAUGUAUUUUCCACGUUUCAACGUUUUCAGACACUUGUUGAGCGUCAGUUUUCUCUUAAAAUUAAAUCUGUUCAAACUGAUUGGGGUGGUGAAUAUCGUAAAUUAAAUACAUUUUUUCAAACAAUUGGUAUUCAUCAUCGAUUAAUUUGUCCUCAUACUCAUGAACAAAAUGGCACAGUUGAACGUCGUCAUAGACAUAUUGUCGAAACUGGCCUAACCCUCUUAGGCCAGUGUAAUGCCCCAUUGCGUUUUUGGAACUAUGCUAUGGAAUCAUCGGUCUAUCUUAUUAAUCGCAUGCCUACUCCUGUUCUUCAAAAUAAAUCUCCUUUUGCGUGUCUGUUUCAUCGCACUCCUGAUUAUAAUUUCUACGCACUUUUGGGUGUCUUUGUUUUCCAUUUUUACGUCCAUAUCAUGCUCAUAAAUUAGAUUUUCGGUCUUCUCCUUGUGUGUUUUUAGGCUAUAGCUCGUCUCAUCUUGGUUAUCGGUGUCUUGAUUUAGAGUCUGGUCGUGUCUAUGUCUCCCGUCAUGUUCGUUUUCAUGAAUGUGUCUUUCCUUUUAAAAAGUCUGAACAGGUAACAACACCCCCGGUUCCCCCACUCCACCUACCUAUCUUCCAUCACUGCAACCCCCUUCCUGUUUUCAGCCUCUUCCUUCCCAACUCGGCAAAACACACAACCCACCUUUGCCCCUUGCCGCAACCCCCAGCUUGCUCCCCUGCCCGUUGAUUUAGCCGACCCUGCCUCACCACCCCACACAGCCAUACUAUCACCACGUGCUUGUCUUUCCAAUGAUUAUUGUGCAGGAACAGGUUCUGACUUGCAGGAUUCAGUAGCGGCACAACCCGCACCUCCCCGGCUUCACCUCCUGGUCUGCAACUUUGUGUUGAUCUCUCCUCUUAUCCUCUUCAGCACAUUCCAGGUACAGGUGUUGCUACUCAUGCUCCAUCUCCCAGCUGCUCCUAAACACCCAUGGUUCUUCGUCUGAGACAGCCCAAGACAGCGCUGAUCACCACCACGGUAGCCACCUCUACUGCUUCCUUCAGUCGGGUAACUUCUCCUCCCUCGCAUGAGCCACUUAUUUUUCCUGAUGCUAACAGAUAUGAGGCGUGGCAUAAUGCUAUGCGAGAGGAAAUCCAGGCCUUACGCGCAAACAGAACAUGGACUUUAGUGCCAUUUCAUCCGUCCAUGAAUGUUGUUGGUAGUCGUUGGGUCUACAAAAUUAAAUGCAAAUCUGAUGGUAGCAUUGAGAGGUAUAAGGUGCGCCUGGUUGCUAGGGGCUUCACUCAGCAAGAAGGUAUUGAUUACUCAGAAACUUUUAGUCCUGUUAUCAAACAGGCAACAGUCCGCUUAGUGUUCUCCAUUGCAGUUUCGAGUGGUUGGAAAAUUCAUCAGCUUGACAUUCAUAAUGCAUUUCUAAAUGGAGUCCUUGAUGAAGAGGUUUACAUGAAACAACCUCCAGGUUUUGUUGAUUCUGCACUCCCAGGUCAUGUAUGUCGAUUGCAUAAAUCUCUAUAUGGGUUAAAAUAAGCUCCGCGGGCUUGGUACACUCGUCUGAAUGAUUUUCUAUUAUCCAUUGGUUUCCGUGCUUCUAAAGUGGAUACCUCAUUGUUUAUCUUCUCGGUUGGUAGUGAUAUUUGUUAUCUUUUGGUUUAUGUUGAUGAUAUUCUGCUUACGGGUAAUAAUGGAACUCUGCUACAACGACUCAUUCAGCUACUGAGCUCAGAAUUUAAACUUCGGGAUUUGGGUGAUGUUCAUUAUUUCUUGGGUAUUGAAGUGCAGUGUACUGGUCUGGGACUUAUGCUUUGUCAACAUAAAUAUACACUUGAUAUCCUCACACGAGCUGGUAUGUUAUCCUGUAAACCAGUUGAUACUCCUAUUUCGGCAUCCAAAGCCACCAUUAUGCCGGAUCCAUUGUUUUCUGAUGCUACUCGUUUUCGGCAACUUGUUGGUGCUCUCCAAUAUCUCACUUUCACACGCCCGGAUAUUUGCUUUGCUGUUAACCGGGUCUGUCAAUUUAUGCAUGCUCCUACAGAAUCCCAUUGGGCUGCCGUGAAACGCAUCUUGCGUUAUCUCCGUGGUACGGCAUCACAUGGUUUACAUAUUACUCGCAGCUCGUCCUUUGCUUUACACGGUUUUACAGAUGCAGAUUGGGCAGGUAGUAUUGAGGAUAGAAAGUCUACAGGUGGUUAUCUUGUGUUCUUUGGUCAGACGCCAAUUUCAUGGAAAUCGAGUAAGCAACGCACUGUUGCUCGUUCUUCGACAGAAGCUGAGUACAAAGCCUUAGCCGAUGGCACAGCUGAAGUUAUCUGGCUUCAGUACUUGUUAACGGAUCUUCAGAUUCCGACUCCUUCUGCCCCUAUUAUCUGGUGUGACAACCUUGGUGCCACGUAUUUGUCCGCAAACCCUAUAUUUCAUGCUCGCACAAAACAUAUUGAGAUUGAUUAUCAUUUUGUCCGAGAUAGAGUUGCGAAGAAGGAGAUUCAGAUUCGUUUUAUUUCCUCUCAGGAUCAACUUGUCGAUGUCUUCACUAAGCCACUUCCUGCUGCUUCAUUUACUGCUUUUAGAUUCAAGCUUCGGGUUGAUCCUCCACCCUCAGCUUGAGGGGGCGUAUUCUCGAAUGUAAUUAUAUAGGAAAUAUUGUAGUCAUAUUCUUAUGUGGUAAUCUCCACCUUUACUAUUGUAUAUUGCCCUAAUCAUAUAUAUAGAAAGGGUUGGCUAACCUAUUAGGUUAAGCCUCCUAAUUAUUCUCAACUAACACCAAUUACUGGUUGGGCUAGAAUAGGUAAGAACUAUAAUCACACAAGUUGGCUUAUGAAGAUGAUUUUGUUUUUGAACUCAAUAACAAUACCACGCAACAAAUUAAAAAUCUAAACUGAUUCAAAAUCCGAUUGCUAGUACGUAGUGGGGAAGAAGGAAAAAAGUUCCAAAAGGAGGAUAAGAAGGUUUGGAAACACACUAGAUGAUCAUAUUUAUGAUGAAAAUAGAUCUUAAGUAUGGAAUUUUAUUAUAACAUUUUAAAAACCCUAUUUCCUAUUAGAAUUCCAAGACAAUGCCAUCCGAGUUUCGAGAACAUACCAGAUUUGAUCUAAAAGUUACUACCAAGAAUUUUUCAUUAUUUUUCUAAUUUUUUAGGAUUUUUCUCUCAUUAAGUUAUAGAAUCUUAUAUGGUUUAGAUUUCUAUAUCCAAAUCAGUUUUAGUUAUUUUUUUACAAGAGGGGAUUGAUUAUUUUAAAUCUUUAUAUUUGUUUGGGAUAAUUAAAGUUUGUACUUGUAGUAUAUAUCAAAAGACUUGAGAACAAUUGAAGCAGGUAGUUAGGCAGGCUGCUUUUAAAAUAUCUACCUUCAACAAAAGAGUAUAAUAAUGAUUAAUUGUUAAAGUGUUUUUUUUUUAAUGUAUUAAAAUAUAUAUAUUUUUUAUUUUUUAAAAAUUAUUUUAACAUUAACACAUUGAAAUAAUUCAAAAACAUAAAAAAAAAUAUUUUAAAUAUUUUAAAAAAAUCAUGAAAAACAAGUUGCACCGUAACCCUAAACAGCCUCUUCGAUGAAGACUUUACAAUUUCAAAAUUGUUAUACACUUGAUAUGUAUUUAUGCAUUUACAUUUCAUAUUAUUGUCACAACUUUUUAGUAGCAAUAAGACUCUCAUAUCUUUGAACAAGUAUUUAUCUAUUAAAGUUCAUUUUUUCUAUAUUAGAUCUUAAACAAAACAUUCACACAUGCUACUUUUAUUUAUAAAAUCAGAACUUUUCUAGCAUCAUCUUAAAAAGAGAUCAAUGUAAAUUUUGGGGGCGUAAGCCCUCUCUCAAUAAAUUUCUUUUAUUGCCCAAAAAUAAAUUGAGAAGAAGAAAGAUGGUCAAUUGAUGUCAUUACUGAAUCCCAAGUUUUCAGUCUAUUUUCUUUUUCUCAAGGAAAGUUAUUAGUGUACACGUACGAAAGAUACAAAAAUAGAAAAGAAAUUGAUUAUUUUAAGUCAAAAUUAAAGGCAAUCAGAUUAUUCCUUUUAUUCUAUUCUAAAAAGAAAAUUCUAUUCUAGAAAGAAAAAGAAAUUCUUAUUUCUACAUGAUGAAGUAACUGUUUUAAAACUCUAACCGGUUUGAUUGUUAACCUAUGAUUCUGGUGACUCAAAGCUGAGACCAAGAAGGAUUUUGAUAAGAAUAGAGAGAUAAUUGAUCGAAUUAAAAAUUUAAAUUUUUAAAACUAUGUUUGUAGCUGCUCAUGCAAUGGCUAGAAAAUGAUUGGAAUCUUGUUUCGGUAAGAAUUCGUAUGCUAGGGAAAUUUGAGGUAGCUGUGGAGCUUUCUCUAUCUGUGAAUGGAGGUAAACAUCAUUGAAUUUGGUUUUAUUAGGAAAUCGAAGGUACUCGUCAAUUUCUUUUUGAGAGAGUAGUGUUGGGGGAUCCGACCGGUGAUGUACUGAUAGUUGCCCAUUGGAGUCUAAGCACACUGACACAAUAUUUAACGUGGUUCAGCAAACUACCUACAUCUACGGGAGAGGUAUAUAUUAUUAUAGAUGGAUAGAGAAAGGGUUACAACACACAUGGAGGAGGAGGAUCACUUCACUCUAACUCUACUCGCAUUGCUCACACACACUGCUGGACAUUGCAGCAGGGCUUCCGCCCUUGGCAGCCACUCAUCUUUCUCUCUUCCUCUCUUUUCUUCACACUCUCAUUCUCUCUCAACUUUGCUAUCUAAAUUUUGCCUCUAUUUAUAGGCAUCAAUGAUGCUGCUCCAGCUCAUCUUUAUUAAUGGUGGUCACCUAACAUUUGCCUACUUUGUGACUUUUGGUUGUUGCACCAACAAUCCUUUUUGAAAAUGGAAGCCAUCUUCUUUGUUGUAACCCAUUUCCGGGUCCCCACAAAAAUAAAUAAAAUAAAUAGCCAAAGGAGGUUAGAAAAAUAACAGGAGGCAGAAGCGCUCAGAAAAUGGUCAGAAAAAUCGGUCAAGGAGGUUAAAAAUACAAAGAUGGAUUUUUGACAAUAUAUUCUUGAAUGAUAAGAGCCCUGGUGGAUAAGAAACUUUGAUUUUUGAGGAGAAAAGUCCAAAUUUAGAGGUUUAUGGACUUAAUUGGAUUUUUAAUUGAAUUUAUAGAGGAUUUGAUUGCAAGAAAAUUUGAUUUUUAAGUCAAUUUGGGCUUUAAUUAGAAGAAAUUUAAGUUCUGGGCCAAAAUAUAUCUUUAGGAAUUUAUUAAGUCAAAUCAGGGGCUUAAUUGCAUAAAUAUUGAAGUUUAAUGGCCAAUCAGGGACUUAAUUGUGAAAAUCCGAAACUAGGGACCAAUUUGGAAAAGGCGCGAAGAUAGGGGGCUGUAUUGAAUUGAUUCAGGGGCCUAAUUGAAGAAAUUGGAAGUUUUUUGAUCAAUUGAGGGCUAAAUUGCAUAAAUCAGAGGCCAAGGACUGAAGUGAAAAACACGGCCAACUAUAGGGGCGGGGACAGAAAUUGGCAGGGACGCAAUUGAAAUGAACAAAAAGUAAUUGGGGGCUAAUUUGAACAUUGGCGCGUUUCUGGCGCUACAUUUAAAUGAAACGGCGCCUUUUCUCCAAAACGACGCCGUUUCAUACACAUAAAAAAAAAAGAGAGAGAGAAAGACCGAACGGUGCCGUUUUGAACGACAUUGUUCCCCUUUCUUCUUCCCCCCGAACAUGCAGCGGGGAAGAAGGAAAAAGAAUGCAUUGUUUAAUUUCGUCGGUCCCUCUAGCCCACCGACCAACCGAGGCCCCACGUUGUUGAACCACCAACCGAAGACACUGGCCGACCACCCGCCGCGCUACCGAAACCGAGGGAGGCACGCCUGGACAGCCGCGCCCCGACCAGCCGCUGCGUGACCCGCUCCCCAUGCUCCACAAUGAAAAGCCACGCUCACUGGCUCUAUAAAUAGGACCCAACACAGCAGCAAAAAGAAAGGAGGAGAAAAAAAACAGAGAACCAGAAAAAAAAAAACAAAAAAAAACCGAAGAGGGAAGAGAGGAGAGAACCCGAAGAGAGAGAGAGAGAGAAGAAACCGGAGAAGGAACGGACAGAGAAGAGAGGGAGGAGGAAACAAAACAAAAAAACAAGCAAUGAGACAGUGAGGGGACGACCGAGAGGGGAGACCCAUUGUACACAGAGAUGAUUGAACAGCUGACAAAAGGAAACACCCGAGAUCAAGAGGAGAAGAACCAGACAUAAGCAAAAAGGAGGAAGACAGAGGUACAUGUGUCUGCAUAAAGGAGAAGAAAUAAUGUAGAAAACAGUUGCGCUUCCCAGCCACUGCCACCGUCAGCACCACCGGGAGACGUCGACUGCCUCUCCACCGCCACCAGCAUCACUGGGAGUGUUCGCCAUCGUCUUCAACAUCGUUUCUGCCACCAGGUUUGCACCCCCUUCGUCGCUGUGCAUGCACCAUUUCCUUGCAUUUCACUGUUCAAGUGAAAUAUAAUUCACUUGAACAGUGAAAUGCUAAUUCACUGUUCACAUUAAAUAUAAUUCACGUGAACAGUGAAAUGCUAUUUAACUGUUUACAUCAAAUAUAUUUCACUGUUCACACGAGGCCUGCUGGGUUCAGCCCAGCCACGUGGGACCUGCUGGGUCCAGCCCUAAAAAAAUAUAAAAAAUAAAAAUUCUUCAAAAAUUGUUUCAAAGAAUUUGUGAUUUUUCUGUAAUUUUAUUACUAUAUUUUGGUCAAUAUCGGUUUGUAUUUUUAUAUUAUAAAGAUACAAAUCCGGUAUUAAAAUACCCGGUUUUCGUCAACAAAAAAAAUGUUUAUUAAAAAAAAAUGUUUUGUUUUCAUGCAAACGGCCAAUACUCUAACAUGUUUUGAAUGUUCUUUUUAUAUAAAAAAAAAAAUUGGAAGUUUUGAAAAUGUGUUUUCGCAUAGAUUUCUUAAACACAAAUUAUUUUCUUGCAUUUCUGGAUUUUACAACAUAUUUGUAAAACUCCAAAGGGUAUUGGCCAAUAUUCCAAAAACUAUAAAAAUCUUAUUUUGGGGGGGGAAUUCAUCUAUUAUUCACCGCUAAUGUUUGGAUAAAGAAAUCCUUAAAGGACGAAUAUCCAAAAUAUUAUUAGGAGUAAUAAAUCUGCACACAUCCUUGAAAGAAGCCUUGAUUAUAAUUGAGGACAUUUCAAAAUUUCAAAUUUUUUACUCCACGGUUUACGAGCCGUGAAAGUAUGAAAUACUAAGGAAAAAGGAGGCUUUUAAAGCGCUUUAAAUUUCCUUAGAUUUCUAAAUUUUUUUGUCCCUCCUCCUUGCGAUUUACGAGUCGUAAACUCUUGAAAUACUAAGGGAAAAAUGAGCUUUCAAAGCACAUGGAAUCUCUUGAAAUAAAUUUCAUUUGAAUCAAACUUAGGAAAAUUGAUGGGAUUAGGAAACACCAACACCAUAGCAAUUAUAGAGCAAGCCAAACACCAAGCAGCUUACCUUAGGUAGGGCAUACUAGGGGUGUUAAUACCUUCCCUUUACACAACCAGUCCCUUACCUUAGAAUCUCUGAAAGACCAGUUAGAGUUCCUAGUGACCAAAAUACUAGGUGGCGACUCCAAAGAACCAAAUCAGCAAAACAAAACAAAAUCACCAAUCGAACCUGCAAUAUGGAUUUUUUUUUAGGGUGCGACAUUCUUCUAGAAGAUGGGCUGCAAAUGCUGCCACAUAAGUGGUAAUAUCCCAACAAUCACCCCCUUUGCCAUUUAUGUGGGGCAAUUGUCCUCUUGCAUUUUCAACACAAGCUUGCAUCCUGCAGCUCUUCCAAGCUUACCAUUCCGAGAGAAUCUGUGGCCAAGUUUACAGGUACUCGCCAAACCUUUCAAUCACCAGAGUUACCCAAGCACACCUUUUCUCACACCAAAGGAUCACUUCAACCAGAUGGUCUCCAACAUCACAUCUGAAUAGUGUUAACGCUUGUCUCUAUGACACUACAUUUCCUUUCGAGCGUAUCAACCAUGCUCGGUCCAGAAACCACGCUUUACUCAUCCCAGAGUUGCAUCUGCCCUCUGUUCCACCAUAGAAACCACGCUUUACUUCUCAGUGAGUCUUCCACUCUUAGUCUCAAGAGUCCAGGUAGCUCUCCACCUUUAACCAUGGGGGCAUCCCAUUAAAGGUUGAUCCAUAUCUGUCUUCAUACUCUGAGUAUUACAAUGCCAUCACCGAGCUCGCCACCUUGACAAGAGUCAACUUGUUCCCCGAACCUGCGCAUGCCCUCUGCUCAUUCCUAGCAGUCACGUCUUAAUACUCCACAAGUCACCCAUUUAUUGUCCAAGGCAAAUAUCUUCUAGCUCAUUGAUCUUUAGCAUGGGGGAAAUAUCCAUGAAAGUCAAUCCUGCAUAUGUCUUCAUAUUCAUCAUAGCCACUUCAUUUAGCUAUACACUUGUCCACUUAUAUCCAGCCAUCACAUUGGCUCUAGGGCAUUCUGAACUGGGGCUCCUAUCAUGGCCCUCACACCUUCUCUAAGGUGUCUUCGCCUGUUGUCAUAAGACGGUCUGAACUGGGGCUCUUAUCAUGGCCCACACACCUUUCAUUUCAGGUGUCUCUGCUCGUCGUCAUGCGGCGGUCAGAAUCUGGGCUCAUAUUAUAGCUCUCACACCUUCCAUCCGAGGUGUCUCCGCUCAUCAUGGAGCAAUCUCAUCCUCCUUCAUCAGGGAUAACUCCAGUGGCUCCAAGAUUCUCUACCACUAUGUGGACUUGGGAGAGAUCACAACUGUCGACUAAAUAAAAAGAGAAAGUUGCGGUAUACUCCUCACAAUCCUCCACCUUGAAUUCUAUAUUUGGAGCUUCUACGCCUUUCUGCUUGACAGCUCCACCUACACCAACUCUCUUUGGUGUCUUCGCCUUUCAUAGGCGGUCGCCAUUUAUCAUAAGCGUUUGCACCCCCUCAAUUAGGUGCCUCCACAACAGCUCAUCUUUCCAUUGUUACAUGCAUUAGAAAGGUCUUCGACUGUUGCCUUUACCAAGAGCACAAGAGACUUCCUGUUGUAUAUCAUUCACACAAUCUCUACACUGAGCUUCAUUUGGGAACUCUUCUUCUCUUUUCACUUGUUGUCUCAUUACAGUACCUCGUUAGAUUCUACGGGUACUCCUGCAUAAUCUCCAUAUGCUCUCGUGCAAUAUCUGUUCUCUAGAUUUCUCCCUAUUCUUUGCUUUUAUGUUUGACAACAGCUUAUCAUGUCACAACGCCUACCAAGUCAAAAUAGGGAGCCAAUCUUUAUCCCCUUGUUGUAUUUCUCUUCCAUUAUCAGGGUCUUCAUCAAUUCUCCCCUCGAGAAAUUACAGUCACCGAAUCUAACUUCUUUAGAGAAAUCACCACUCCAUUAGAUCCUUGAUCAUACGGAACCCAAUUGUUCCUUUGUGCUGUCAUCUUGCUAGUCUUCAAUAGUUUCAUUACAAACUGUUACAUAUACGAAAAUAGUACCAUAUGGAUAAUCCUUCAGCUAAGCAAGUUCCCAGGAAAGAUUGGAGGGAUUACAACGGUCUCGUUUAAAACUUAAUAUCCUAGCCAGAACUUCUUAGGCUAUAUCUAUCUAUCGUACUACCUUUUCAUAUAUACAACCAUUUGCUAGCUUUGUUGCAACUUUCUUUUAUAAGUGAUCUGGAAUAUUUUUUUUUAUACAUGAUUUCUCAACAUCUGGUGAGACUACCAGUGCUUAGAUUCGUCAAGAUUGGUCUUCAUCAAUUUUUCACACUCCACCUCAAAUCGUCUAUAUGAUCGGGUGUUUAGAGUGUCCCAAUUUUACUUUCCUUUAAGGCAAUUAAAAUUUCCCCAUUUAACAGCUUAGCACAUGCAAUUGGAUAAACAUGUGCACCUUCUUCUUCAUCUUCAUCUUCAUCUUCAUCGACCACCAUGAUGAUCUUCAUCUUCUUCAUCUCGAUCGGGCAAUCUCUCUUAAUAAUUCACCACCACCAUUUUUGGUCUCAAUCUGAAUGAUCAGACUAUACCAUUGUAUUUAGAAUGAUCAAAUUAGUUGGAAAUAAGUCUGAAAUCGUGCAAAUCACAUUUCAGACGUCUAGGAUUUGAUCAAAACAAUUCUGGCCUAAUCGACGGGCUAGAUUUAAUCUUAUAUCUAGUUGCAAGUAGACUCCGCUACACAGAAUCCUAUCCCUCGGCUCUGCUCAACCUAGCUUGGCUCACGACUGAUGACAUCGCAGGUGGGUCCCACCUGAUGAUGUGUCUGCUGACUAGUCGCUGACAUUGAAUGCCAACUGUGCAUGAUGAUGUCAUCCUUAUCCGAGUAAGGCACAUGGGUCGGUUCAUCUGGUAUUCGGGUCUAGUCGGCCCAUCCGGGCGAAGAAGACUCGUGCGGCAUGUGGCUUGCGUCUGUGCGCGUGGAUAGCCAGUUGGCUGGCGUGUGGGGGAGCGUGCAGCCAUUCCUGGCGUCUGAUUUUGACGGGGUUUUCACUAGUGUGCUCGUCUCUUCCUCCUCUACAAGGUGGUAUGGUCAAAACCCAAUUUAAAAACUUUCAUUUAUGAGCAAAAAUCAAACACCACUUUAAACCAAAUGCUCUGAUACCAAUUGUUGGGGAAUUCGACUGAUGAUGUACUGAUAGUUGCCCAUUAGAGGCUAAGCACACUGACACAAUAUUUAAUGUGGUUCAGUAAACCGCCUACAUCCACGGGAGAGGUCUAUAUCAUUAGAGAUAGAUAGAGAAAGGGUUACAACAUACAUGAAGGAGGAGGAUCACUUCACUCUAACUCUACUCUCAUUGCUCACACACACUACAUGACAUUGUAGCAGGGUUGCUACCCUUGGCAGUCACUUCUCUUUCUCUCUUCCUCUCUUUUCUUCACACUCUCAUUCUCUAUCAACUUUGCUCUCUAACUUAUGCCUCUAUUUAUAGGCAUCAAUGGUGCUACUACAGCUCAUCUUUAUUUAUGGUGGUUACCUAACAUCUGCCAACUUUGUGACUUUUGAUUGCUGCACCAACAACCCUCUUUGAAAAUGAAAGCCAUCUUCUUCUAGAAGAUGGGUUGUAAAUGUUGCAACAUAAGUGUCAAUAUUCCAACAAGUAGUACGCCAUGUAAACACACAAUUUUUAUUUGAACACAGGUGACAAAAGAAAUGGAAAAUUUGGAUUCUUGAAAAAUGUCAAGCUUCCAAGUUCCACGAGAAUUACUAGAUAACUCAAGAACAUCAUCAGCCAUAAUCUACAAUUUAUUAAUGGAGCUAUCUGACUUAAUUGAAUGUUGGAAACUGAUUGUGGUCUGACUUUAAUUGCUGUUAGUGUAGUUCUCGAUCUGCAAUGACAUCACAGUCUGGGAUGGUUCAUAUGAGGACUUGCAUUCUUGCAGAAAGAGUGUGAUGAUUCGCCUAACAAGUGUUCUGUUUCCUCGCUAUUUUGCUGAGCCAAUGAUUUCUGAUGAAGAGCUUUCAGCUUAGCAAGCUCAUCGGACACUUCCUUCAUGGUUGGCCGGUUUACUCCCAUGCUAUUCAGACAUCCUUUUGCAAGCUUAGCUACAGCUUCUAUCUCAUCCAUUUCGCCUUCAUCAGCUGCCUGGAAAUCCAAAAUUCUGAAAAGAUUAUUAGUUUCCAGUGCUGAGAUAAAGUGUUGAAUGAGGUUCCGUUUCUCUCCAGACUUGGAAAUGGAGUUUGGCAUCUCUCCGGUGAGAAGCUCCACAAGAACUACCCCAAAGCUAUAGACAUCACUUUGAACGGUUAAAAUACCCGUCAUAAGAUACUCAGGAUCCAGGUAGCCUAGAGUACCUUGUAUUUUUGUAGCUAAGAUAUCGGUUUGGCCAGGAGACAUCAGCACCGAAGCUCCAAAAUCUGCUACUUUUGCUGUGUAAUUACUGUCUAGAAGUAUGUUUACUGACUUGACAUCCCCAUGAAUAACUGGAGGGUCUGCCAGAGAGUGCAAAUAAUCAAGCGCAAGCGCAGCCUCCGAUGCCACCCUCAAACGAUUGGUCCAGGAAGCCAAUAUCCGGGAACCUUUGUUGUGGAUGUGCUUGGAAAGAGUUCCAUUUGAGAUGAACUCAUAGACCAGUAAUGGAACUUUGGUCUCUAGACACAGGCCCAAGAGCUUUACCACAUUCCUGUGAUUGACCUGCGAAACAAUGCUCAUUUCCUUUUGAAAUUCCGCAUUCAUCUGAGCUUUGUCCAUCCCUUUGGACUUCUUGACAGCAACCACUGUAUUAUCUGUUAAAACUCCCUUGUAAACAGAACCAAAACCACCCUCCCCG